GAUGAACGCUAGCGGCAGGCCUAACACAUGCAAGUCGAGGGAGAAGCCCUUUCGGGGGCAGAAACCGGCCCACGGGUGCGUAACGCGUAUGCAACCUACCUUUCACAGGGGGAUAGCCCGAAGAAAUUUGGAUUAAUACCCCAUAAUAUUAUUGGAUGGCAUCAUUUGAUAAUUAAAACUGCGGUGGUGAAAGAUGGGCAUGCGUCCUAUUAGCUAGUUGGAGUGGUAACGGCACCCCAAGGCUACGAUAGGUAGGGGUCCUGAGAGGGAGAUCCCCCACACUGGUACUGAGACAGGGACCAGACUCCUACGGGAGGCAGCAGUGAGGAAUAUUGGUCAAUGGUCGGAAGACUGAACCAGCCAUGCCGCGUGCAGGAAGAAUGCCUUAUGGGUUGUAAACUGCUUUUAUAUGGGAAGAAUAAGGCGUACGUGUACGUUGAUGACGGUACCAUAUGAAUAAGCAUCGGCUAACUCCGUG
rnacentral:rRNA from 1 species